rnacentral:lncRNA from 1 species
CUUGUGUUUCAUAUAAAGCUUUAUUUGUCAUUCACGGCUGGUUGGCAAAACUGACUUUGCUUUUGAAAAUGACAGGUGGUACUCUGGUGAGCUCUGUAUGGAAAAAGAAACAACCUUCACCAAGACAGUUUCUGUCAAUAGCUUCCAUGAUUUAGUAUUCAAUCUGGGCUUGUGUUUCUUCUAAAGUUCUGUUUCAUUUGCAUCUCUUAGGUCUGGCAUCACCAAGGCUCUGUAAUAAUUGGGAUUCUAUACCACAUGGCUGGAAAGGCAGGCUUCCUCUCGUCUCUGCAGGCCUGAUUAAAAGACAGAUUUCUACUGAAGAGCUCAUAAAAAAACCCAAAAAUGACAUUAUCAAGUUAUAAAACAACGUUCACGGUGCAGCUGCUGCUUCUCCAUCUCCUCCUCCUUCAUUAACAUCACCAUCGUCAUAAUUAGUGUUAUACAUCUAAUGUGAUUAUAGUUCCAAUGAUAAAGAUGGUGAUUUUGUGGCUUAUUUCAUUUGAAGGGCUGUAGUUAUCUUUUUAUACACUUUCUCAC